GGGGAACAGGCAGAGGGUAUAAACCAAAGAGGGGUUAGAGACAGAAAAAUAAGAAAUAAUCUGAUCAAAUUUUAUUGGAAGGGACUUCAGGAUGUUUCUGGUCUAAAUCCCUGCAAAGAGCGUAUCUAGAGCAGGCUGAUAGGAGUCCCUCUGCGUCUCCCAUCCUGCAGCUCCUGACCACCUCGAUACCUCCUCUGGACUCAAUCCAGCAUCUCCGCACGUUCCUUGCAUUGGGGAGCCUCAAACUGGACCCAGCACUGCAGUUGGUUAGAUAAUCCGAUUCUUCAUGUGUGAUGAUCUGCUCAUUGUCUGGACGAGCAACGCCUUCAGCUCUCAAGCAAUACAAACAGUCCUGAGCAGCUCCAUGCCUCUCAUUCUGCUGUGCUAAUUGCUGAUUAUUGCUGCGGCUGGUUCCUGGGAGGCAGCACCCAGAGGUGCUCCCUGCAUGGAUCUCAGCAUGUCCCUCAUACAGGAGCAUCCCCACCUGGUCCAACCAUGCCCUGCCAGUGCUGCCGGCUGAUCUCACGGUGCUUGAGUGGGUGAGGAAAGAGCCAGAAAGAGGAAAAAUAACAGGAUUUAGCAAACCAUAAUGUCUGCGUAUAGCCCAGUGCCUGGGUGCUCCUGGCAUUGUGAGGACCUUCCAAGCCCCAGACCCUCUAAGGGCUGCUGACUUCAGCACCUGUGGCACAAGCACAGCUCGCGGUGCCAAACCAGAUCCGUACUGUCCCAUCUCCACUGAAGAGCCAACUCUGGUGCCAGGACAAAGACCAUCCUUCUCACGCUGCUCUGAGAUGCCACCAGGGGUGUGCUCUGCGCUUCGAGGGGCAGCGAGAGACCCCACGAGGACCACAGCGGAGCUGAGGGACCUGACUUGCUGCACCACACCCCACAUCUCAGAGCUGGGCUUUCGGUGCAGACAGCAGCAACGUCCACGACCACCUUGGGUGUGAGCCACUGGCCUCCUUCGGAGGAACCACGGCUCUGAGCAGAUAACCACCCUCUCUCGUGCUUCUCCAGGCAGUCCCUGUCUGCAGCCUUUGGGGUGCAAACUCCCUGUUUGCCUCUGGACUAAAAGGCUGGCUGUGCUGCUGCUCAGCACCAGACCGCCUGGGGCUGUGCAGGAUGUUGUUUUUCUGAUACUUUACCUGUGAAGAGUGGGGAGGAUGAGAACAAAUUAGUAGUUUGGAUUUUUAUUUUUAUUUUUUUCAUCGCUAAGAAAAUUUUCAUCUGGAAAUAAGGUUCCUGAGCUGAGUUUCAAGCUGCCAAAUCACAGCCUCUCUCGUAUUUUCAUCAGAGAUGUCUUGAAUAUUUCAGAAUGGUCAAUUCAUGAGCAAUAUUACAGAGAAAUUCCUAAGAGCACUUGACAGAAAUUUGCUGAAGACCCUGUUCCUGCCUGCAAACGAUCCGUACUGAAAGCCAAAUAAUUUGCGGAAGACUGUUCAGCUUUUAACUCAGAAGAAAAACUGAACAAAUUCAAAAUAUUUUGGUUUUCUCAGAAGGGAACAUUUUGUUUUCUUUUUCCAAAUUAGUUUUUGCAUUAUUUAUUUUAUUUCAGAUUAUCUACAAAAAGCAAAAACCUAAAAUUGGAAUCAAACAUUUUUAUUUUACCAAAACAAAAUAGUCUGGCUGAUUUUUUCUUUUUUUCCCUCCGGUGUGGGGACUUGAAAGUAAAUUAAUUUCCAUCCCACUUUAUGGAAUCAUGUACACAUGAAUUAAAUGAAGAAAAUAA